rnacentral:lncRNA from 1 species
AGACGUUCUAGAAGCCACAGUCACAAAAGGAGGAGAUCAAGAAGUAGGAUUUUUGAUCACAGUUAUAAAGGAUCUUAUAGGUCUAGAAAUAGACUGUCGGGGAGACCAUGGCCUAGCAGAAGCCAUUCAGAUUCCAAUUAUACUUGACAUCCAGCUGAGACAUCCAUCUUUUACCCACUUUCCUGAUCAAGUAAGUCAGCAAAUAUUUACUGAAUGAACCCUUACCAUGGGCAAAACAUUGUACUGGAGAACUGGGGAGAGGAACAGAUGAUGUGUCCUUUAUUCUUGCUAAAUUUCUACUGAUCGCAAUCUAAUGAAACUUUACAAAAUGGCCC